rnacentral:rRNA from 1 species
AUUGAACGCUGGCGGCAGGCCUAACACAUGCAAGUCGAACGAGUGGCGGACGGGUGAGUAAUGUCUGGGAAACUGCCUGACGGAGGGGGAUAACUACUGGAAACGGUAGCUAAUACCGCAUACCAUCAGAUGUGCCCAGAUGGGAUUAGCUUGUUGGUGGGGUAACGGCUCACCAAGGCGACGAUCCCUAGCUGGUCUGAGAGGAUGACCAGCCACACUGUGGCUGGGACGCGGUCCAGACUCCUACGGGAGGCAGCAGUGGUGGAUAUGGCACAAUGGGCGCAAGCCUGAUACAGCCAUGCCGCGUGUAUGAAGAAGGCUUUCGGGUGGUGAAGUACGUUCGGCGGGGAGACGUUAACCGCAGAAGAAGCACCGGCUAACUCCGUGCCAGCAGCCGCGGUAAUUC